UUUUAGCCCUGAUGGAAGCGGCAUCCUUUUUUGCCGGAGGAACGAAGGCAGAAAAGAUACAGUGGACAGCAGGAACAGCU
rnacentral:sRNA from 1 species